AAAGAAAUAAAAACGAAACAAAAUAAAAAGAAAGGAGAAAGAAGCAGAGAGCAUUUCGAACAGAGCAGUGGAAAGGAGAAAACGAAAAAGAAAAAGAAAAACUAGGGUUUGAGGCUUUAAGCUUUAAUUUGCUAACAAGGAACUCGAGGCAUUGACACACAAAGGAAAGGAGAAGAUUAUUGAGGAAUAAUCGAGCAAAUUCGGGUUGAAAGGGGUCCAGAGUCUCGGUUCAGCAUCCAGAACAAUCCCGACUCAAGCAUAAAUUUUGAUGAUGUUUUCUCCCUUAAUUGAAAGUGGCAUGUACUAGGAGUUGUAUAGGUUAUAUAGAUGUGCUUGUAAUGUUGGUUGUAAAAAUGGUAUACCAUAUUUUGGUAUCAGUUUAAUAAAAUGGUAAAGAUUAUAUUAUAUAAUUUGGCAUUA